rnacentral:rRNA from 1 species
UACAGAGGUCUCAAGCGUUGUUCGGAUUCAUCGGGCGUAAAGGGUGCGUAGGCGGCGCGGUAAGUCGGGUGUGAAAUUUCGAGGCUUAACUUCGAAACUGCAUUCGAUACUGCCGUGCUUGAGGACUGGAGAGGAGACUGGAAUUUACGGUGUAGCGGUGAAAUGCGUAGAUAUCGUAAGGAAGACCAGUGGCGAAGGCGGGUCUCUGGACAGUUCCUGACGCUGAGGCACGAAGGUCAGGGGAGCAAACAGG